rnacentral:miRNA from 12 species
GAUGGCUGUGUUUCUGGUGCAUG